AAGGUAAAAGAAAGUUAUGUUGACUGUUGAGAAUUUGCCUAUUGCAAUUCACAGCAAACAAACAAAUUCUUCAAUUACUUCCUCAUCCUCUUCCUAAUCCUAGCUCUACCUUUUACCAACAAUUUCUCGCCAAUUCCCUAACUCACUAUGCUAACGUUUCCACCCAUGGAACUCUAUUCCUUACGCGACAACUGCAUUUCACCUCUCCCUAUUUUCCCUAGGGUUUCCUCAUCCUCACCUUCACUCUCUCUCAAACGCACCCAUCCCUUUCUGUCACUCCGCCGCCGGAGAAAUUCGUGCUCCGCCUCCACCUCCGACACAUUACUCGCUGGUUCCCGCAAGGACGAUGAGAAACGCAGUGGCGGAGUAGUUGUGAGUAGUAGUAAAAAGGAAGAAAAAGAAGAGGAUGAUUUGAAGGAGUGGAUGCAUAAAAAUGGACUGCCUCCGUGUAAAGUUCUUCUUAAAGAACGAAGGCAUCCUCAUGAUUCUAAAUAUCGACCUAUUCAUUACGUUGCUGCUAGUGAAGAUCUUCAGGCUGGCGAUGUGGCGUUUUCAGUUCCGAAUUCGCUCGUUGUUACGCUCGAGAGAGUGUUGGGAAAUGAGACCAUUGCUGAACUACUGACUACAAAUAAACUGUCUGAAUUGGCAUGCUUGGCAUUGUAUCUUAUGUAUGAGAAGAAGCAAGGGAAGAAGUCAUUUUGGUAUCCAUAUAUUAGAGAGCUUGAUCGCCAAAGAGGUAGGGGCCAACUGGCUGUAGAAUCUCCACUUCUAUGGUCAGAAGCUGAAUUGGCAUAUCUGACCGGUAGCCCCACUAAGGCUGAAGUUAUUGAAAGGAGAGAUGGAAUUAAAAGAGAAUAUGAUGAGCUUGAUACAGUCUGGUUCAUGGCCGGCUCUCUGUUUCAGCAAUACCCAUAUGAUAUACCUACCGAAGCCUUUUCCUUUGAGAUUUUCAAACAAGCAUUUGUUGCUGUACAGUCAUGUGUGGUGCACUUGCAGAAAGUCAGUUUGGCUCGGAGAUUUGCGUUGGUUCCUCUUGGACCCCCUUUGCUAGCCUAUAGGAGCGCCUGCAAGGCAAUGUUAACUGCUGUUGAUGGUGCUGUUCAACUAGUGAUUGAUCGUCCAUACAAGGCUGGAGAACCCAUUGUUGUCUGGUGUGGACCACAGCCUAAUUCAAAGUUGCUUAUAAACUAUGGUUUUGUUGAUGAAGAUAAUUCUUAUGACCGAGUCACCGUAGAGGCAGCACUUGAUAUCGAAGAUCCUCAAUAUCAAGACAAAAGAAUGGUUGCUCAAAGAAAUGGCAAACUAUCAAUACAAGUGUUUCAGAUACUUGUGGGUAAGGAGAAAGAGGCUAUAUCAGAUAUACUUCCUUAUUUGCGGUUGGGCUAUGUAUCGGAGCCUUCUGAGAUGCAAUCUGUUAUUUCUUCUCAAGGACCAAUUUGUCCAAUGAGCCCAUGUAUGGAACGAGCUGUGUUGGAUCAGCUUGCAGGUUAUUUCAAGAGACGCCUGGCUGGUUAUCCUACUAGCUUGAGUGAAGAUGAAUUGAUGUUGGCAGAUCCUGAUUUGAACCCUAAGAAACGAGUUGCUACUCAGCUGGUUAGAUUGGAAAAGAAAAUACUCAAUGCAUGCUUGCAGACAACAGUUGAUUUGAUUAAUCAGUUACCUGAUUUUACUGUCUCUCCUUGCCCUGCGCCUUAUGCCCCUAAAUUGAAAUGAAGAAAUCAUUUUAUUUCCUUGUUGGUCUUGCAAGUUUGUGGAAAUAAAUUCCAGUAUUUUCCAUACGCAACUAUAGACCAGGUAUAUAUAUCUGAUUUGGAUACUGCUCAAGGCAGAUGAAAUAGUCAAAGUUAGCUGAACAGCCGCUAUGUUGCAAAGUUGUUGAGAAGCUGUGGGUUCCUUAUUAAUUACACGAUCAUCAGCCGAGACUAACGUCAAGUUUCUUUUGUUGGUGAUCGAUCCUACUUGUUUGUUCCAUCAUCGGAAGAGAUGGUUAUAUGAUUUUUUUAAAGGCCAAGCUAAUCGAGGAAAAGGGUAACGGGAAACAUAAGAAAGGCCAGUUCAGCUGUUAGGUCCAUGCAUAGUUUGGCCAGUCAUGAUUCUAAGGCAGAAUGGGGAUUUCAUAGGUUGCUGGAUGGUUGUCUGUUUCUGCAAUUUGUACAUCUGAUAACCUUUUUUGUUGCUAGUGUCAAGGACUCCAGACAUGUUUUUCGUACAAGGUUUUUUCAGUUGAAACUUGAUCAGUAUAAAAUGUACAUGCUACAGUCUAAUGAAACGUGGAGAUCUAAGAAAUCAUGUUAAUGUAUAUUUUACAACCUGAAUAUUUUGGUUAUUAUUUUUAAUUUAACAAAUAGAUUAAAAAGUA